UACGUAGGUGACAAGCGUUGUCCGGAUUUAUUGGGCGUAAAGCGAGCGCAGGCGGUCAUUUAAGUCUGAUGUGAAAGCUCACGGCUCAACCGCGGAGGGUCAUUGGAAACUGGAAGACUUGAAUGCAGAAGAGGAAAGUGGAAUUCCAUGUGUAGCGGUGAAAUGCGUAGAUAUAUGGAGGAACACCAGUGGCGAAGGCGACUUUCUGGUCCGUAAUUGACGCGGAGGCUCGAAAGCGUGGGGAGCAAGCAGA
rnacentral:misc_RNA from 1 species